rnacentral:rRNA from 1 species
AGUGAACGCUGGCGGUAGGCCUAACACAUGCAAGUCGAACGGCAGCACAGUAAGAGCUUGCUCUUACGGGUGGCGAGUGGCGGACGGGUGAGGAAUACAUCGGAAUCUACUUUUUCGUGGGGGAUAACGUAGGGAAACUUACGCUAAUACCGCAUACGACCUACGGGUGAAAGCAGGGGAUCUUCGGACCUUGCGCGAUUGAAUGAGCCGAUGUCGGAUUAGCUAGUUGGCGGGGUAAAGGCCCACCAAGGCGACGAUCCGUAGCUGGUCUGAGAGGAUGAUCAGCCACACUGGAACUGAGACACGGUCCAGACUCCUACGGGAGGCAGCGGUGGGGAAUGUUGGACGAUGGGCGCAAGCCUGAUCCAGCCAUACCGCGUGGGUGAAGAAGGCCUUCGGGUUGUAAAGCCCUUUUGUUGGGAAAGAAAGGCAGCAGGUUAAUACCCCGCUGUUCUGACGGUACCCAAAGAAUAAGCACCGGCUAACUUCGUG